rnacentral:rRNA from 1 species
AUACAGAGGGUGCAAGCGUUAAUCGGAAUUACUGGGCGUAAAGCGCGCGUAGGCGGUUUGUUAAGUCGGAUGUGAAAGCCCUAGGCUCAACCUGGGAACUGCAUUCGAUACUGGCAGACUAGAGUAUGGUAGAGGCAAGCGGAAUUCCUGGUGUAGCGGUGGAACGUGUAGAUAUCAGGAAGAACAUCGGUGGCGAAGGCGGCUUGCUGGGCCCUCGCUGACGCUGAGGCUCGAAAGCGUGGGGAGCGAACGGGAUUAGAUACCCCAGUAGUCC